AGAGAAAUGCUAAUUACAAACGCUCUAGCACCCGCUUUUUGACACACGCUUUAUUGUGAUGCCACGUUGCCAAUUCAUUUAAACUCAUUACUUGUUUACCGGUUCAACCAGUUAGCCUAUUUUUAUUUUAUUUAAUUAAUUAAUUAUAUUGUGGUCUCUCCGUUCACCAUUUGAAACAGCAGGAUACUUCACCACGACCAUUCUGUCUCUGUUUGUAUUCUGAGGUAUUGUCUAUGGUAGCCACCGCCACUAACAGUGCUUGAGCAGUUGUGAUUAUCGGUUGACGGACGUGGUAGCUCGCAACAAAUACGGAACGACGGUCAAGGUCGUAGGUCGGUGAUUGAAGUCAGGGGCUCACGACGCAGGUAAAGGACAUCUAGAGGACUGGUUAUGUCAUUUUAGUAAAACUUUAAUCACAACAAUUUUGUUUGUUUGUGUAAACGAAUAAUCUUCAAAGUUGAAACAAUAUUAAGUGCCAUCGUGUAAAACACGGCCAGAAAUAAUGAUAGUAACAGAGGGAAAAAAAAAGAAUAAGAAGUUGAAAACGAAACCAUAUAGGAGAGAAAAAUUGAGGCAGUAAUUGAACCUAAAGAUUGAUUGAAAGUUGAAAGUCCAAGAAGGGAUAAAUAUAUUUGAUCUUGACUGGUUUGUUGAACGAUGAUUGUUUUAAAUUAAUCUCAAGAAAAUGGUGGUAGUGGUUUGAACUGUGAAACUUUUUAUAAGAAAAAGGUGGAUGGAGGUGGCGGUAGGGUUGAGUUUUGGUGGAUG
rnacentral:lncRNA from 1 species